AUAAGGAGGAUCCGAGCGUUAUCCGGAUUUAUUGGGAUUAAAGGGAGCGUAGGUGGAUUGUUAAGUCAGUUGUGAAAGUUUGCGGCUCAACCGUAAAAUUGCAGUUGAAACUGGCAGUCUUGAGUACAGUAGAGGUGGGCGGAAUUCGGGGUGUAGAGGUGAAAUGCUUAGAUAUAACGAAGAACUCCGAUUGCGAAGGCAGCUCACUAGACUGUUACUGACACUGAUGCUCGAAAGUGUGGGUAUCAAACAGGAUUAGAUACCCUGGUAGUCCACACAGUAAACGAUGAAUACUCGCUGUUUGCGAUAUACAGUAAGCGGCCAAGCGAAAGCAUUAAGUAUUCCACCUGGGGAGUACGCCGGCAACGGUGAAACUCAAAGGAAUUGACGGGG
rnacentral:rRNA from 1 species